UUCGCAAUGCCCGAAAGGGUGACAAUGCGACGCCGCGUGGGCGAUGAAGGCCUUCGGGUUGUAAAGCCCUGUCAGCUUGGAUGAAAGCCCUUGACAUAAUAUGUCAAGGGUCUGACGGUACAAGCAGAGGAAGCCACGGCUAACUCUGUGCCAGCAGCCGCGGUAAUACAGAGGCGGCAAGCGUUGUUCGGAAUUAUUGGGCGUAAAGAGCACGUAGGCGGCCUUGCAAGUCAGUUGUGAAAGCCUUCCGCUCAACGGAAGAAUGCCAGCUGAUACUACAGGGCUUGAGUACGGGAGGGGAGAGUGGAACUUCUGGUGGAGCGGUGAAAUGCGUAGAUAUCAGAAGGAACGCCGGCGGCGAAAGCGACUCUCUGGCCCGAAACUGACGCUGAGUGUGCGAAAGCUAGGGGAGCAAACGGGAUUAGAUACCCCGGUAGUCCUAGCCGUAAACGAUGGGCACUAAGUAGAGGGGUUUU
rnacentral:rRNA from 1 species